GACGAACGCUGGCGGCGUGCCUAAUACAUGCAAGUUGAGCGCUGAAGGUUGGUACUUGUACCAACUGGAUGAGCAGCGAACGGGUGAGUAACGCGUGGGGAAUCUGCCUUUGAGCGGGGGACAACAUUUGGAAACGAAUGCUAAUACCGCAUAAAAACUUUAAACACAAGUUUUAAGUUUGAAAGAUGCAAUUGCAUCACUCAAAGAUGAUCCCGCGUUGUAUUAGCUAGUUGGUGAGGUAAAGGCUCACCAAGGCGAUGAUACAUAGCCGACCUGAGAGGGUGAUCGGCCACAUUGGGACUGAGACACGGCCCAAACUCCUACGGGAGGCAGCAGUAGGGAAUCUUCGGCAAUGGACGAAAGUCUGACCGAGCAACGCCGCGUGAGUGAAGAAGGUUUUCGGAUCGUAAAACUCUGUUGGUAGAGAAGAACGUUGGUGAGAGUGGAAAGCUCAUC
rnacentral:rRNA from 1 species